CUGCAGCUCAAGUGGUGACCGCUAUUAUUGGGCCUAAAACGUUCGUAGCCGGCUGAGUAAAUGCUUGGGUAAAUCGUGCCGCUUAACGGUACGAAUUCCGGGUAGACUGCUCAGCUUGAGACCGGGAGAAGCUAGAGGUACUCCUGGGGUAGAGGUGAAAUUCUGUAAUCCUGGGGGGACCACCAGUGGCGAAGGCGUCUAGCUAGAACGGGUCUGACGGUGAGGGACGAAACCCUGGGGCGCAAACCGGAUUAGAUACCCCAGUAGUCC
rnacentral:rRNA from 1 species